rnacentral:rRNA from 1 species
CUGCCUACGGGGGGCAGCAGUGGGGAAUAUUGGGCAAUGGGCGCAAGCCUUACCCAGCAAUACCGCGUGAGUGAAGAAGGUCUUCGGAUUGUAAAGCUCUUUGAUCAGGGACGAACAGAUGACGGUACCUGAAGAACAAGCCCCGGCUAACUCCGUGCCAGCAGCCGCGGUAAUACGGAGGGUGCGAGCGUUAAUCGGAAUUACUGGGCGUAAAGCGCUCGUAGGCGGUAUGUCAAGUCAAGGGUGAAAUCCCCGCGCCCAACGUGGGAACUGCCUUUGAAACUGGCAAACUGGAGUGUGUGAGG